AGAAUCAACGCUGGCGGCGUGCCUAACACAUGCAAGUCGCACGAGAAAGGGUAGCAAUACCAUGAGUAAAGUGGCGCACGGGUGAGUAACACGUGACUAACCUACCCUGGAGUGGGGGAUAACUGAGGGAAACCUUAGCUAAUACCGCAUAACACCUACGGGUCAAAGGAGCAAUUCGCUUCAGGAGGGGGUCGCGGCAGAUUAGCUAGUUGGCGGGGUAAUGGCCCACCAAGGCAGUGAUCUGUA
rnacentral:rRNA from 1 species